AUGAACGCUAGCGACAGGCUUAACACAUGCAAGUCGAGGGGCAGCACAGGUAGCAAUACCGGGUGGCGACCGGCGCACGGGUGAGUAACGCGUAUGCAACUUGCCUAUCAGAGGGGGAUAACCCGGCGAAAGUCGGACUAAUACCGCAUGAAGCAGGGGCCCCGCAUGGGGAUAUUUGCUAAAGAUUCAUCGCUGAUAGAUAGGCAUGCGUUCCAUUAGGCAGUUGGCGGGGUAACGGCCCACCAAACCGACGAUGGAUAGGGGUUCUGAGAGGAAGGUCCCCCACAUUGGUACUGAGACACGGACCAAACUCCUACGGGAGGCAGCAGUGAGGAAUAUUGGUCAAUGGCCGAGAGGCUGAACCAGCCAAGUCGCGUGAGGGAUGAAGGUUCUAUGGAUCGUAAACCUCUUUUAUAAGGGAAUAAAGUGCGGGACGUGUCCCGUUUUGUAUGUACCUUAUGAAUAAGGAUCGGCUAACUCCGUGCCAGCAGCCGCGGUAAUACGGAGGAUCCGAGCGUUAUCCGGAUUUAUUGGGUUUAAAGGGUGCGUAGGCGGCCUUUUAAGUCAGCGGUGAAAGUCUGUGGCUCAACCAUAGAAUUGCCGUUGAAACUGGGGGGCUUGAGUAUGUUUGAGGCAGGCGGAAUGCGUGGUGUAGCGGUGAAAUGCAUAGAUAUCACGCAGAACCCCGAUUGCGAAGGCAGCCUGCCAAGCCAUUACUGACGCUGAUGCACGAAAGCGUGGGGAUCAAACAGGAUUAGAUACCCUGGUAGUCCACACAGUAAACGAUGAAUACUCGCUGUUUGCGAUAUACAGUAAGCGGCCAAGCGAAAGCGUUAAGUAUUCCACCUGGGGAGUACGCCGGCAACGGUGAAACUCAAAGGAAUUGACGGGGGCCCGCACAAGCGGAGGAACAUGUGGUUUAAUUCGAUGAUACGCGAGGAACCUUACCCGGGUUUGAACGCAUUCGGACCGAGGUGGAAACACCUUUUCUAGCAAUAGCCGUUUGCGAGGUGCUGCAUGGUUGUCGUCAGCUCGUGUCGUGAGAUGUUGGGUUAAGUCCCGCAACGAGCGCAACCCUUAUCUUUAGUAGCCAGCAGUAAGAUGGGCACUCUAGAGAGACUGCCGGGGAUAACCCGGAGGAAGGUGGGGAUGACGUCAAAUCAUCAUGCCCCUUAUGACCAGGGCUACACACGUGCUACAAUGGCGCAUACAAAGAGAAGCGACCUCGCGAGAGCAAGCGGACCUCAUAAAGUGCGUCGUAGUCCGGAUUGGAGUCUGCAACUCGACUCCAUGAAGUCGGAAUCGCUAGUAAUCGUGGAUCAGAAUGCCACGGUGAAUACGUUCCCGGGCCUUGUACACACCGCCCGUCACACCAUGAGAGUUGGGGAUACCCGAAGCCUGUGAGCCAACAUAUCUAUGAGGCAGCAGUCGAAGGUAGAAUCAAUGAUUGGGGUG
rnacentral:rRNA from 1 species